GCCAGCAGCCGCGGUAACACCGGCGGCCCGAGUGGUGAUCGUGAUUAUUGGGUCUAAAGGGUCCGUAGCCGGUUGGUCAGUCCUCCGGGAAAUCUGAUAGCUCAACUAUUAGGCUUUCGGGGGAUACUGCCAGACUUGGAACCGGGAGAGGUAAGAGGUACUACAGGGGUAGGAGUGAAAUCUUGUAAUCCCGUGUGGGACCACCUGUGGCGAAGGCGUCUUACCAGAACGGGUUCGACGGUGAGGGACGAAAGCUGGGGGCACGAACCGGAUUAGAUACCCGGGUAGUCCCAGCCGUAAACGAUGCUCGCUAGGUGUCAGGCAUGGCGCGACCGUGUCUGGUGCCGCAGGGAAGCCGUGAAGCGAGCCACCUGGGAAGUACGGCCGCAAGGCUGAAACUUAAAGGAAUUGGCGGGGGAGCACAACAACGGGUGGAGCCCUGCGGUUUAAUUGGACUCAACGCCGGACAACUCACCGGGGGCGACAGCAAUAUGUAGGCCAAGCUGAAGACUUUGCCUGAAUCGCUGAGAAGAGGUGCAUGG
rnacentral:rRNA from 1 species